GAUGAAGAACGCAGCGAAAUGCGAUAAGUAAUGUGAAUUGCAGAAUUCAGUGAAUCAUCGAAUCUUUGAACGCACCUUGCACCCUUUGGCAUUCCGAAGGGUAUGUUCGUUUGAGUGUCAUUGUACUCUCACACUCCCACUCUUUUGGAUUGGGAGCGGUGGACUUGGGUGUUGCUGCUUCACUGUGGCUCGCCUCAAAUGGAGUAGUGCAACUCUCGGUUGGACAUAGUACGGCGUGAUAAGUGUCUUCGCCGGCGCCUCACUAGAGGGUGGCCGAUCGGGAGCUCUGUGCUUCAAACCGUCUUCGGACAAUCUCUGACAACUUGACCUCAAAUCGAGUAGGACUACCCGCUGAACUUAAGCAUAUCAAUAAGCGGAGGA
rnacentral:misc_RNA from 1 species